CCUACGGGAGGCAGCAGUGGGGAAUUUUGGACAAUGGGCGAAAGCCUGAUCCAGCAAUGCCGCGUGUGGGAAGAAGGCCUUCGGGUUGUAAACCACUUUUGUACGGAACGAAACGGUUCGCUUUAAUACAGUGGGCUAAUGACGGUACCGUAAGAAUAAGCACCGGCUAACUACGUGCCAGCAGCCGCGGUAAUACGUAGGGUGCGAGCGUUAAUCGGAAUUACUGGGCGUAAAGCGUGCGCAGGCGGUUAUAUAAGACAGUUGUGAAAUCCCCGGGCUCAACCUGGGAAUUGCAUCUGUGACUGUAUAGCUAGAGUACGGUAGAGGGGGAUGGAAUUCCGCGUGUAGCAGUGAAAUGCGUAGAUAUGCGGAGGAACACCGAUGGCGAAGGCAAUCCCCUGGACCUGUACUGACGCUCAUGCACGAAAGCGUGGGGAGCAAACAGGAUUAGAUACCCUGGUAGUCCACGCCCUAAACGAUGUCAACUGGUUGUUGGGUGCAUUAGUACUCAGUAACGAAGCUAACGCGUGAAGUUGACCGCCUGGGGAGUACGGCCGCAAGGUUGAAACUCAAAGAGUAGUUACGGCGUGNGAGNGCGACGACGACGACGAGGAGGAGGAG
rnacentral:rRNA from 1 species